AAUUAUCAACCUAAUUUAUUAAGAUUAAGAUUAGGAUUGGACUUGGGAUUUGCUGGCUUUGAGUAGUCAGCUAUCCUUAAAUGCAUUAGUGAGUCAAGUCUUGACGUGCACGGCCUGUCUUCGGUGAUAAAUGAUCCGUUGGUCCGGGCUGGAAGCGUCAUUAGAAAGCUUGCUUUAUUUUAUUAACAUUGACA
rnacentral:misc_RNA from 1 species